rnacentral:miRNA from 1 species
CGGGUGAGGGCGGUGGGGGA